UUUUGAAAAGGGUGAAAUUGCAAUACUUUUUUCAUCCAAACAUUGUACAAAUGGUGGCAUAUUUACAAAACAAUUUAAAUUGCGAUCAUUAUCUGGUGAUAUUUCAUUAACUAACUCUGAAGAUGAUGAUUUGUCUGAAUGUCCUGAGUUGCAACUUAUAAAUGUAUUCUCUUACAACAUUCCAAAAGUGUCACCUGGAUUGACGGAGCACGGGUUUUAUAUUCAUGCUGUUACUUCUACUCCUGGCAAUGUUCCUAGGUUCAAAAAUGAAUAUUUUUAUCAGUCAAUAUCUCUUCCUGAAAUUGAAUGUCCAACAUCAAAUGAAAAAGUUUAUAUUAAAC